UAGAAAGUUAACACGUGAAGCCAAAGGGAGAAAGCACCCAUUUACACUCAAUAAGGAGAAAAUCCUCCCCUCCAAGCUCGGCCGUCGCCUCAGUCGGAGGGCAGCACUUCCAACAUCGGCCGUCAACAUUUUCGGCCACACUUCGAUCGCACCCAUUUGCCCCAAAUUACGCACUUUCCAUCUCCACCAUUUGGACACUUAGACGGGAAAGCACGGCAAAGGAAAAUCAAACAAAAGGUGCAAAUUUCUUCUGUCGUUCAACAACAGCAACUUCUUAGGUACAGUAUUCAUCACACUAUGCAAAGAUUUACAGAUCCACAAACACAAAUUAUUGUUUGAACAACUGAAUCUCCAUAGUGAAGGUGUAUAGUUCACAAACCUGGAGCCUGCAGUUCCUAUAGUGUGUGUAAAAAGUCAUUACCAAUAUUCUUGAUGUCCGUAAAAUAACCCAAAAAUCUCAAUUUCCGUAUACUUUUGCCGAUGUGUUACUAGCUUAACUUAGAUUUAUUGUAUCUUAAUACGGGUUUUUCUCAAGGCCCAGUUCGUAAAAAUGCAGAAAAAGGCUGAGGGAUUGGGACGAUUCGACUAGUUCAGUCUUUGCGUGAUUCUGCAUCCUUUGGUGAUGUGGGUGAGAUUCAAGGAUUUGAUUUCGCAGAAUGGUUGAAGAAUAUAGUGUCAGAGAGUGACUAUUUGGUAAUGAAGAUGGACGUUGAAGGACUGAAUUUGAUCCGAUUCCAAGGUUGAUCGAGAUGGGAGCAAUAUGCUUCAUCGAUUAAAACUUUCUUAAAUGUCAUUACAAUAGGUAGCAGAAAUGCUGCCCCAGUGAGAGGGACAGCAAGUACCAUAAAACAUAUGGGCAAUGCUUGGAUUUGUAUACUUCCCUUAUAGCAAGAGGAGUUUUAGUCCAUCAAUGGUGGUGGCCUCUUCAAUCCCUCAGCCUGGAGCAAUUGUAGCCCUAUGUAUGUUUCAAUUGGAGUUGGCUUUAGAAAAGAGAGUUAAAUUUUACUAGAUCUUAAACAAUUUGUUUGGCAUUUCAUAAUGGUUUAUGCCUUUUAAAUUGUUUGAUACAAAAAGAAGGAUUGGAAUAAAAUUUGUAGGAUAUAUAAUUGACUACACUGUCUAUGUCAAAUAGACUCUAUUGCAGAUGAGAAUAAGUACCAUUAUGAUAGUAAGAACAUACAUAAAAUGAUAAAACAAACCUAAGAGAUCGAACUAUUGCAGAUGUGAACAAGUACUAUUAUGACACAAUAUACAUAAACUGAUAAAACAAGCCCUGAGAGAUCAAACAGUGCAUAAAGAUUCAAGAUUGACCAUUGCUAGCUGCUCAGUUACUAUAGACUAUCGAUAUCAUAAUCUUCGUGGUCCCAAGUAUCAGCCACAUUCAUGUAAGGUCCCUAUCGCUUGUUCGCGAACAAGCUAUCACUGUUAGCUUUUUCAAUACUCGUUUCUGCAGGAGGCAAAAGACAUAUCAUCAAUAUAAUAUUUCUUAACUCCAAACUAAAUAACUCCUCAAUGUCCAAAACUAUGGUAUGGACAUGUAUUACCAUAACAUGGAUUCCAUUUUUCUUACAGGCCUCCACCAUUUUGUCAUUCCUCCAUCCCAAAUGCAUCUCCAUCUAAAAACAAAAAACAACAUAAAAUAUAUUAUAUGAGAUUUCCGUUGCAAUUAAAAAACGAUCACGUAGAAUCCAAAAUUCAGACUUGGCAUACAGAAGGCUUUAUCUUAGCAACACUUAGUAACUUAUGCAGUUUCUUUAGUGUGAAAUUGCAAACUCCAAUGUCUCUAACAAGAUUGUCAUUCACAAGUUUCUCCAUUUUCCUCCCAAACUCCUUCCAUGUCGAAAUCCAAAAUGUUCCCUACUUUUGGAGGUCUAUUGGCUUCAUCUUUCAAGUGGAAUGGCCAAUGGAUCUUACAUAUCAAUAGAGAAAAUGACACUUUAACAGGUAACUUUAUAGCAUAUUUGAAGGAAACAAAUAUGUAUAAGAAAAACACCAAAUAGAGAUCAAGGUAGUCAAGUUUCAGUUCUUGAAGUGUAUUUUGGAGGGCUGUAUUAGAAUAAAUGAGCAUCAGGCAGCUCAGUAGAUCAGCCAACAGAACAACCAGCUCAGCUCAAGAUGAUUUAGGCGCCAAAUUUAGCUAGAAAUUAGUUGUGUACAGUUGUCAAGUUAGUUAGUUAGUUGAUUGUUAGAAUCAGUUAACCAAUUCUAUUUAAGCUCACCAUUGUACUGAUAAUCAGAUUGAUUAAACGAGAAUUUCAUUUCGUUCUUCCAAAUUUCCUCUUUUCUUCAAUAGGCUAGGCGAACUCUUUCAGGAGUCAACUCAUUGCACCUUACAUUCACCAUAAAAUCACACUCUGUUAGAAACAUCUAUAACUUAUCUUCUAACUUGCAGAAUAAACAUCUAGUUAAACAAUAGUCGUUUUAAACCCCAGGAGAUGUUCUGCACCAUAACUUAGACGUGAUGAACAAAGCUCUCCUCUACAAUCUUGCGUGUAUAGCCGAAUUGACUUCUUGUCCUACCUAGAAGACAUUAAAAAGAAAUAGAUGAGAGG
rnacentral:lncRNA from 1 species